CCUACGGGUGGCAGCAGUGAGGAAUAUUGGUCAAUGGACGAGAGUCUGAACCAGCCAAGUAGCGUGAAGGAUGACUGCCCUAUGGGUUGUAAACUUCUUUUAUAAAGGAAUAAAACGCGGCACGUGUGCCUUUUUGCAUGUACUUUAUGAAUCACGAACGGCUAACUCCGUGCCAGCAGCCGCGGUAAUACGGAGGAUCCGAGCGUUAUCCGGAUUUAUUGGGUUUAAAGGGAGCGUAGAUGGGUUGUUAAGUCAGUUGUGAAAGUUUGCGGCUCAACCGUAAAAUUGCAAUUGAUACUGGCAGUCUUGAGUACAGUUGAGGUAAGCGGAAUUCGUGGUGUAGCGGUGAAAUGCUUAGAUAUCACGAAGAACCCCGAUUGCGAAGGCAGCUUACUAAACUGUGACUGACAUUGAUGCUCGAAAGUGUGGGUAGCAAACAGGAUUAGAUACCCUAGUAGUC
rnacentral:rRNA from 1 species